GAAACAUUUGAAUUUUUCCGUGGAUAAAAAAAAAACGGGAGAAAUGUGGAGGGCGAAAUGCUUUUUCUUUGCAGGAGUCAUUCUUUCAGAGAAUCAACUUUUAAAUAACGAACCGUAUAUGGUUGUACUUGGCUAAAUAAGACAGCUACGUGGUAGGUUGAAUUACUCGAGUUUCUUACCUUCGAAUUGGUCCACCGACUCAUCUAGCCAUAAUCGGUGAAGAUGAUGUUUUGUAUCAAAAUGUAAACAAUUACGAAAUGAUUCGAGUUCAGUCAUCGUUAUAUUUAUGGCUCAAGUUUAUUGGAUCUAGGUGAGGCCGUAGAUCCUUUAGUCGAUCGAUA